GAUGAACGCUAGCUACAGGCUUAACACAUGCAAGUCGAGGGGAAACGACAUCGAAAGCUUGCUUUUGAUGGGCGUCGACCGGCGCACGGGUGAGUAACGCGUAUCCAACCUGCCCACCACUUGGGGAUAACCUUGCGAAAGUAAGACUAAUACCCAAUGACGUCUCUAGAAGACAUCUGAAGGAGAUUACAGAUUUAUCGGUGAUGGAUGGGGAUGCGUAUGAUUAGCUUGUUGGCGGGGUAACGGCCCACCAAGGCGACGAUCAGUAGGGGGUCUGAGAGGAAGGUCCCCCACAUUGGAACUGAGACACGGUCCAAACUCCUACGGGAGGCAGCAGUGAGGAAUAUUGGUCAAUGGGCGAGAGCCUGAACCAGCCAAGUAGCGUGCAGGAUGACGGCCCUAUGGGUUGUAAACUGCUUUUAUAAGGGAAUAAAGUGAGUCUCGUGAGACUUUUUGCAUGUACCUUAUGAAUAAGGACCGGCUAAUUCCGUGCCAGCCGCCGCCGUAA
rnacentral:rRNA from 1 species